GUGGGGAAUUUUGGACAAUGGGGGCAACCCUGAUCCAGCCAUGCCGCGUGAGUGAAGAAGGCCUUCGGGUUGUAAAGCUCUUUCGGCGGGGAAGAAAUGGCAACGGCUAAUAUCCGUUGUUGAUGACGGUACCCGCAUAAGAAGCACCGGCUAACUACGUGCCAGCAGCCGCGGUAAUACGUAGGGUGCGAGCGUUAAUCGGAAUUACUGGGCGUAAAGCGUGCGCAGGCGGUUUCGUAAGACAGACGUGAAAUCCCCGGGCUCAACCUGGGAACUGCGUUUGUGACUGCGAGGCUAGAGUACGGCAGAGGGGGGUAGAAUUCCACGUGUAGCAGUGAAAUGCGUAGAGAUGUGGAGGAAUACCGAUGGCGAAGGCAGCCCCCUGGGUUAGUACUGACGCUCAUGCACGAAAGCGUGGGGAGCAAACAGG
rnacentral:rRNA from 1 species